CGGCGUGCUUAACACAUGCAAGUCGAACGAAGAGCGAUGGAAGCUUGCUUCUAUCAAUCUUAGUGGCGAACGGGUGAGUAACGCGUAAUCAACCUGCCCUUCAGAGGGGGACAACAGUUGGAAACGACUGCUAAUACCGCAUACGAUCCAACCUCGGCAUCGAGGAUGGAUGAAAGGUGGCCUCUAUUUAUAAGCUAUCACUGAAGGAGGGGAUUGCGUCUGAUUAGCUAGUUGGAGGGGUAACGGCCCACCAAGGCGAUGAUCAGUAGCCGGUCUGAGAGGAUGAACGGCCACAUUGGGACUGAGACACGGCCCAGACUCCUACGGGAGGCAGCAGUGGGGAAUCUUCCGCAAUGGACGAAAGUCUGACGGAGCAACGCCGCGUGAGUGAUGACGGCCUUCGGGUUGUAAAGCUCUGUUAAUCGGGACGAAAGGCCUUCUUGCGAAUAGUUAGAAGGAUUGACGGUACCGGAAUAGAAAGCCACGGCUAACUACGUG
rnacentral:rRNA from 1 species